CUUUAUUGGAGAGUUUGAUCCUGGCUCAGGAUGAACGCUGGCGGCGUGCCUAAUACAUGCAAGUCGAGCGAAUGGAUUGAGAGCUUGCUCUCAAGAAGUUAGCGGCGGACGGGUGAGUAACACGUGGGUAACCUGCCCAUAAGACUGGGAUAACUCCGGGAAACCGGGGCUAAUACCGGAUAAUAUUUUGAACUGCAUGG
rnacentral:rRNA from 1 species